rnacentral:rRNA from 1 species
UGGGGAAUUUUGGACAAUGGGCGAAAGCCUGAUCCAGCAAUGCCGCGUGUGUGAAGAAGGCCUUCGGGUUGUAAAGCACUUUUGUCCGGAAAGAAAUCCUCUGGGUUAAUACCUCGGGGGGAUGACGGUACCGGAAGAAUAAGCACCGGCUAACUACGUGCCAGCAGCCGCGGUAAUACGUAGGGUGCAAGCGUUAAUCGGAAUUACUGGGCGUAAAGCGUGCGCAGGCGGUUUUGUAAGACGGAUGUGAAAUCCCCGGGCUUAACCUGGGAACUGCAUUCGUGACUGCAAGGCUAGAGUAUGGCAGAGGGGGGUAGAAUUCCACGUGUAGCAGUGAAAUGCGUAGAGAUGUGGAGGAAUACCGAUGGCGAAGGCAGCCCCCUGGGCCAAUACUGACGCUCAUGCACGAAAGCGUGGGGAGCAAACAGGAUUAGAUACCCUGGUAGUCCACGCCCUAAACGAUGUCAACUAGUUGUUGGGGAUUCAUUUCCUUAGUAACGUAGCUAACGCGUGAAGUUGACCGCCUGGGGAGUACGGUCGCAAGAUUAAAACUUAAAGGAAUUGAC